UACGGGGGGGGGCAAGCGUUGUUCGGAAUUACUGGGCGUAAAGGGCUUGUAGGUGGCCAACUAAGUCAGACGUGAAAUCCCUCAGCUUAACUGGGGAACUGCUUCUGAUACUGGAUGGCUUGAGUUUGGGAGAGGGAUGCGGAAUUCCAGGUGUAGCGGUGAAAUUCGUAGAUAUUAGGAAGAACACCGGUGGCGAAGGCGGCCAUCUGGCUCGGUACUGACGCUGAGGUGCGAAAGCGUGGGGAGCAAACAGGG
rnacentral:rRNA from 1 species